rnacentral:rRNA from 1 species
AUUGAACGCUGGCGGAAUGCUUUACACAUGCAAGUCGAACGGCAGCACAGGUGCUUGCACCUGGUGGCGAGUGGCGAACGGGUGAGUAAUGCAUCGGAACGUACCGUGUAGUGGGGGAUAACGCAUCGAAAGGUGUGCUAAUACCGCAUACGUCCUGAGGGAGAAAGUGGGGGAUCGCAAGACCUCACGCUAUACGAGCGGCCGAUGUCCGAUUAGCUAGUUGGUGAGGUAAAGGCUUACCAAGGCGACGAUCGGUAGCUGGUCUGAGAGGACGACCAGCCACACUGGGACUGCGACACGGCCCAGACUCCUACGGGAGGCAGCAGUGGGGAAUUUUGGACAAUGGGCGAAAGCCUGAUCCAGCCAUUCCGCGUGAGUGAAGAAGGCCUUCGGGUUGUAAAGCUCUUUUGUUAGGGAGGAAAUCCUAGUGGCUAAUAUCCAUUGGGGAUGACAGUACCUAAGGAAUAAGGACCGGCUAACUACGUGCCAGCCGCCGCGGUAA